AACGAACGUUAGCGGCGCGCUUAACACAUGCAGGUCGCACGAGAAAGGGCUUCGGCCCCGGUACAGUGGCGCACGGGUGAGUAACACGUGGGUAAUCUUCCCUUUGGCGGGGGAUAACCUUCCGAAAGGAGGGCUAAUACCGCAUAAGACCACGCUCUCGAAAGAGAGAGAGGUUAAAGCAGGCCUCUAUAUAUAAGCUUGCACCAGAGGAUGAGUCCGCGGCCCAUCAGCUAGUUGGAGGGUAAUGGCCUACCAAGGCUAAGACGGGUAGCUGGUCUGAGAGGAUGAUCGGCCACACUGGAACUGAGACACGGUCCAGACUCCUACGGGAGGCAGCAGUGGGGAAUCUUGCGCAAUGGACGAAAGUCUGACGCAGCGACGCCGCGUGGGUGAUGAAGGCCUCGGUUGUAAG
rnacentral:rRNA from 1 species